GACGCCUCCGUGCGCGGUAUCGCAGGGCCCAGUGCACCUCCCACUCUGUCUGCGGGGGGAGGGGGGGGCUGGGCAGCCCCUCCUCUAUCCCCCCUCAUCGCUGCCAACGCCGAACCACUUCUGGUGGUGACAGGGCCAGGCACCCACGACACGGUGUGGAGGACAGAGCGAUGGAUCGCUGCUGACGUCGGCGGCCCGGUCCUGGGUGGGGUGGCGUCGGAGCGCCCCGCGACCGUGAAGAGGUCUGUGCCACACCCACCUGAUAGGCAGAGUGCCCGCGUGACUCGAGCGUGUGUCCCACCCGGCCCCUCGCAGGGCCGACGGCUGGUGUGGGGCGCCGGAGUGCCACCCCGGGGGAGAUGCACCCGGUGGCGACCGGCAUAGUGGGGUGGGUAGAGUUUUUAGGCGCCGGGGCCGUGCUGUCCGAUGAACGGGUCGGCGCAUUGCUGUGCCGGCGUGUGUCGACGGCUGCUCUGCACCGCGCGAUGGGCCCUGUGACAGGCCAGGGGAGGAGGUGGGGAGGGGGAGAGGAGUCACGCGGAGUUGGACCUCCUGCUGUGUGGCAGAGCGAAUGGACACGAAAAGAACUGUUUUUGGUUGUGGCGUCGCUACGCAAGUAAAGCAUUGCGCACACGCCGAUGUCUUUCGAUUUCUUUUUCUUGCUGCCGUUGUGAUCUCUUUCCCAACGGCACACCCAUGUGUCGACCUCUGCAAACUGAGCCAGCUACUCACUUCGCGGUCUUGUGCAUGGAUGCGUGUGCAUGUCCGUGCUAGUGAGUACCUGAACAAGUUUGUGUGCGAUGCGUAAGCCGCUGCGCAAGGCGAACACGAUAUCGCUCGUGUCUUCUUCGCCUUUUCUGUGCGCGCGUUUGGCCAUCUUCUGUGCAUUGCUGUGGGCGUUGCUGGCGUGAGCCGUGCUGCACGUAUGGACAUGUGCUUCUGUUGCUGAGAGGGCCCUGCUUGCUCAUGCUCGUGCUGCCGAAGAGUCAGCGCUCCACUUUCGCUCUUUCGGUGCCGUUGCUUAGGCUGCCGAGCGACCAGUCGGCGUUCGUCUUCGCGGUCUUUUCCGAUUGCGGUUCUUCGGUGUUUGCGUCGUCCUUGUUGCGGGAAAGGGAGGAAUGACGACGUGGAGGGGAUCCGCUUCGCACGCGAGGUUGCACAUCGACGCGCGGCAAACGUCGGUCUUGUCGGUGCACGCGACGUUGUCCCGGUGGCGUUUGGCGCGGAAGUGUCGCUCCGAUGCACCUGCUUGCAGCUGUUGUAACAAAGUACUUCGCCACUCGCGAAGAGGAGGCCGACGACGCAGCCCGACUGACGGCGGUGGCGCUGGCCGUUUCCCUGUGAUCUUUGCUGGUGAUCUAGCUUCCCAUGCGCGUGCCUCAUCUGCCUUCAUUCUGUGCUCUCCAACGUGGUGUACAUCGGAUACACCGCCUCACUUUCUCUCUCUGGCCUCUUCCCCGUCGCCCCUUUCUUCUCCUGUUGCUCUCGCGAAG
rnacentral:misc_RNA from 1 species